GGAUAGCUCAGUAGGGUAGAGCAGGUGACUUCUAAUCAUCGUGUCGCGGGUUCGAAUCCCGCUCC
rnacentral:tRNA from 3 species